AGCAGCCGCGGUAAUUCCAGCUCCAAUAGCGUAUAUUAAAGUUGUUGCAGUUAAAAAGCUCGUAGUUGAAUUUCGGGGUCAGUAGAUUGGUCGUGCCACUGGUAUGCACUGGUCUUACUGGCUCCUCCUUCCUGAUGAACCGUAAUGCCAUUAAUUUGGUGUUGCGGGGAGACUGGACUGUUACUUUGAAAAAUUAGAGUGUUUAAAGCAGGCUAACGCUUGAAUACAUUAGCAUGGAAUAAUGAAAUAGGACGUUCGAUCUUAUUUUGUUGGUUUCUAAGAUUGACGUAAUGAUUAAUAGGGAUAGUUGGGGGCAUUAGUAUUCAAUUGUCAGAGGUGAAAUUCUUGGAUUUAUUGAAGACUAACUACUGCGAAAGCAUUUGCCAAGGAUGUUUUCAUUAAUCAAGAACGAA
rnacentral:rRNA from 1 species